UGAAAAUUAUUUCCCCUUUACAUUUUCUGUCAAAAGAUUGUCGCUACCCACUUCUUCCUCAACUUCUCCUUUCCCCAGUUGCAGCUGUGCCAGCACCAAAAUACAGCCCCACUGCAACCAGCCACACCAAUGCGCAACGUCGUGUCUCCUUCCGCUCGUUGUUCUUCCAUUGCUUGCUGUUAACGCGGUCUUCACUCAGACACGCUGUCCAUAGACCCGCUCCACUUGUCCUCGGUGCUGCUCCUUGUAUUGCUGCUCGCCUUCCUUGCCUCUAGUCCUCGUCCUUAGUCACGCCGCUGGUCCUCGUCCUCAGUCACGCUGAUGCUCUCUGUGGUGCUUGUCUCCAGCCGCUCGGUGAGGUAAUGUUAAACGGAUUUGGGAAGGAUGCUGCUACUGAAACUUAAUUUCUAAAUGGAUUGGGAUAGGUCUGGAUAUUGUAGUUAUAAAUGGGUUCGUAUGUGAGUAUUCAGAAUUUUGCGGCUACCCUAACCGGUACCAUCCCUUAUGUUUCACAUAAUUUGUGAUAAUAUUGGAUAAUUAAAAUAAGCCAAAUAUGCGCCUGAUGCAGUUCUGUAAUCCAUUAACUUUUAUUUGGGCUUGCCAAUUUAUGUUUUAUAUGAAUUAAGUUCAGUAUUGUGGUUGUGCA